rnacentral:rRNA from 1 species
UUAUUUAAGAUGUUAAUUUUUAGCUAGGAUUAUUAUUAGUUAUGAUCUUUAAAAUUAAAAAAUUUGGCGGUAUUUUAGUCUGUUCAGAGGAACCUGUCUCUUAAUCGAUAGUCCACGAUAAUUUUUACUUUGAUUUUAAAUUUACAUAUCGUCGUUUAUAAAAAUCUUAGGAGAGAUUGAAUUUUUAGGAUUUUAAAUUUAAAAGUAGUUCAGAUCAAGGUGUAGUUUAUAUUAAAGUUGGGAUGGGUUACAUUAUUUUUAUUUAUGGUGUUCAUUUUUAAAAUUUGAAUUAAAUUGGAUUUGAUAGUAAAUUCUUUAUUUUUGGGUAUUGAUUUAGCUCUAAAAUAUGC